AAUUGGGUGCUGCUCAGUUGGACAGCACUUGCCUAGCAUGCAUGAGGCUCUGGGUUCAAUCCCCAGCACUAUUA
rnacentral:tRNA from 1 species